GAUGAACGCUGGCGGCGCGCCUAACACAUGCAAGUCGAACGAUUAAAGCACCUUCGGGUGUGUAUAAAGUGGCGAACGGCUGAGUAACACGUGGGCAACCUGCCCCUUUCAUUGGGAUAGCCACGGGAAACCGUGGAUAAUACCGAAUACUUCGAGACUUCCGCAUGGAAGACUCGAGAAAGCUCCGGCGGGGGGGGUUGGGCCCGCGGCCUGUUAGCUUGUUGGUGGGGUAACGGCCUACCAAGGCAAUGAUGGGUAGCUGGGUUGAGAGACCGACCAGCCAGAUUGGGACUGAGACACGGCCCAGACUCCUACGGGAGGCAGCAGUGGGGAAUCUUGCACAAUGGGCGAAAGCCUGAUGCAGCGACGCCGCGUGCGGGAUGAAGGCCUUCGGGUUGUAAACCGCUUUCAGCAGGGACGAGGAGAAAGUGACGGUACCUGAAGAAGAAGCCCCGGCUAACUACGUG
rnacentral:rRNA from 1 species